CGGGGGGGAGGGGCGCGGCGCGCGGGCUCAGCGAGCGGGGCCCGGCCGCUCGCCUCAGGCUCUGCGCGGCCCGAGUCGGGGCCGGGGGCCGGGGGCCGGGCGGGCGAUCCGGGCCCGCGUCGGACCGAGCCGGGCAGGUCCCGCCCCUGGCGCGCGCCGGAUUGUUUGGAGAAGACAAGACCACCUCUGAUCUGGACAGUCGUUUCUGCAAAAUAUAAAGAGAGCUCUUUGCCACAGUUGUGCUGGGAUGUGGAUUUGGUAAAAAGCAUUUUGGUUUGAAAAACCGUUCGUCACUCAGAAUAGGUUAAUAGGAUACAGCCAUGAUUUUGCUUAUGAUGUGGCCAUGAAGAAAGUAGUAGCGUUCCUUUGUCUGCCUGUAUUGUAUCUGCAGCUCUCCCAGUACAUCGGAGACUUUUAGUAAUGUGCUGAUUUCUCCCCCUUCCAGAUCAUCAGUGAAAAUGUUAAACAAAAUGAGACCUAGCACUCGUCGUGGUAGAAUCACUAGAUAUCUGCUCCAUACUUCAUACAUAACCAUUUAUUACUUCCCUGUGUUUAUAGUUGUUCUGUCAGUUUUCAGUCUUCGUGACUGAAAUAUCCAAACUGAUUCCAAUUAUUUUUCUAUUAAGAUUUUACGAGGCACAGUCUCAAAUGCUUUACUAAAAUCCAAAUAUAUUACAUCUACUGUGAUCUCUUCAACCAUUAAUUUUUGCAAUUCUGUCAGAAAAGAGCAAUCACAUUUGUCUGGCAAGAUUUAUAUUUUAUAAUCCCCCAGUACUGUUUGUCUCAUGACUGUUACCUUUCAGAUGUUUAGUAAUAUUUUUUAAUGAAAAUGUAUCUUCUGUUAUUUCACUAAGGACUUACAGGACGGUAAUUGAGGGAUCUCUUUUCCUUCUUGUUUUGAAGACUGGUACUGAGUUUGUUGUAUUCCUCUCCACUUCAUGAUUUAUUAAAAAUUAUUGGCAAAAUAAUGUUUAUGUUCAUUCCUUUAACAGUUUAUAAAACAUGUAAUCUGAAUUUGCUAACUUCACAUUGUAAAUUUACAAGUAUCCCCCCUUACCUGCUAUUUAUCAAUACGUGUUUUUACAAAGACUUCCUAAUUUUCAAAACUCAUUUUCUUAUUCUGUUUUAAAAUAUUCUGUAUAUCACUGUCAUUUUAAGAGUUUAUUAAACUGUUUUUAUCAAG